GACGAACGCUGGCGGCGUGCUUAACACAUGCAAGUCGAACGGAAAGGCCCUUCGGGGUACUCGAGUGGCGAACGGGUGAGUAACACGUGGGUGAUCUGCCCUGCACUCUGGGAUAAGCCUGGGAAACUGGGUCUAAUACCGGAUAUGAUCAUGCGCCUCAUGGUGUGUGGUGGAAAGCUUUUGCGGUGUGGGAUGGGCCCGCGGCCUAUCAGCUUGUUGGUGGGGUAAUGGCCUACCAAGGCGACGACGGGUAGCCGGCCUGAGAGGGUGACCGGCCACACUGGGACUGAGAUACGGCCCAGACUCCUACGGGAGGCAGCAGUGGGGAAUAUUGCACAAUGGGCGCAAGCCUGAUGCAGCGACGCCGCGUGGGGGAGUGACGGCCUCGGUUGUAACGUAC
rnacentral:rRNA from 1 species